rnacentral:rRNA from 1 species
UACAGAGGUCCCAAGCGUUGUUCGGAUUCAUUGGGCGUAAAGGGUGCGUAGGCGGCCUGUCGCGUCUGCUGUGAAAUCCCGGGGCUUAACCCCGGGCGUGCAGUGGAUACGGGCUGGCUGGAGGCAGGCAGGGGAGAAUGGAAUUCCCGGUGUAGCGGUGAAAUGCGCAGAUAUCGGGAGGAACACCGGUGGCGAAGGCGGUUCUCUGGGCCUGUUCUGACGCUGAGGAGCGAAAGCGUGGGGAGCGAACAGGG